GGGGAUGUAACUCAGUGGCAGAGUGCCUGCUUCGCAUCAUCACAACUUGUGCUUGCAUGAAGUCCAGGGUUCAACUCCCUGCUUCUCCA